AGGGGGUCUGUUCAUGGCAUUCACUACAUUUAUCAAACUAAGGAUGAUUUCUGUUCUUUAAGAGCCUUCAGUGUCAUUUAGAGCAUGAAAUCGUAACUAGGAAAAUCCAACUCUCUAGAGAGAGCAAAAGUCAUAGAACAUAAAUAACAAAAAUAAAUAAAUAAUAAAGCUUCACAUGGAAAACCAAAAUAAAGUUAACUAUAAUGAAAUCAAGAAAGAAAAGAACUGGUACAAUCUCGAUUCAUAAUGUUAUACAAUUCACCGAGAGAGAGAGAGAGAGAGAGAGAACAGUUAGAGAUCCUCUCGAUCAUUUACUUCGAGCAUGAAUGACAUCCUGUAGGUCGCUCACGGUGGCCU
rnacentral:lncRNA from 1 species